UCCCAUCAAGCCAAGUUCCCGGAGGAGAUCACCCAGCUCAUCAUGAUAGAGCACUUUUUCAAUAGGCUCCCCAACGACAAGGGGGUGACGCAUUCGUAUGUCAUCCAUAUCAACUUUCGAUGCCAUUUAAUGUGCCUACAAUGGUGACCACGGGUAAUGGGGAAUCAGGGUUUGAUUCCAGAGAGGGAGCCUGAGAAACGGCUACCACAUGCAAGGAAGGUAGCGGGCACGCAAAUGACCCACUUCCGAAGGUAGUGACGA
rnacentral:rRNA from 1 species